rnacentral:tRNA from 9 species
GCCCGGGUGGCGAAAUUGGUAGACGCACCAGCUUCAGGUGCUGGCGGCUUCACGGCCGUGAAGGUUCGAGUCCUUUCCCGGGCACCA